CUCAUAAUCUGUUCUCUAUUUCUGCAAUUUUGCUAUUCAAGGUGUUAUAUCAAUGGAAUCCCACAGAGCAUAAUAGUAGAGAUUUAAUGUUUUCCCUUCAGUGUAUUUCUCUGCAAUUCAUUCAGGUUGUUUUCCAGGCUCUUGUGAGUAAAGCUGCUGUGAAUAUGCAUACCAGAUGUCUGUGUGAACGCAAGUUUUCACUCUGCUGAGACACAUCUCCAAGGGAGCAGUUGCUGAGGGACAAAACCCGCCAAACCGCUUUCCUGCUUGGCUUCCUCCACGACUCGCCCCAGAGGUCCAGAAGUGACCAUCCCACUGGUGCCACAUACUCACUACCUCUCAUUAUGGUGUGAUCGAGAGCGGCCGAAGCCGUGUGCAAUAAUAUACACGUAUAAAUAUUUGAACAGGAAAAAGAACGUCUGCCUGGUGUAGACCAAGGAAGAAAUGCAUUUAAACACCUCAUGCCACUGGAGGGACCUUGACUUGGAGCCACAGCAGGCAAGGAGUGCUGACAGGGCUUUGAUAGCCUGUAUUUGCCAUGGCGGGCUGCAGUCAGAGCCAGGCUCUGCCCCCUCCCUGGGGCCUCUCUCUGGUGGGACACCCAGCGGCCUGCAGUUCUUCUGUGUCUGCCUGUUAUCUGGCUGAGCCCAGGGAAGCUAAGCUCUCAGUCUUUCUUCUAAACUAAACUGAAUGUGGAGCUUGUGUAUUUGACUCUGGACCACAGAGGGGUCCUUUGGUGUAACAGCAAUGGGGUGGGCCCUUCCCAAGCCACUGAAGAGUCUCCAUGAAUAUAUCCUGCCAUCUGCAUCUUAGCCAUUAAAAUUCCGG